AUCACUUUAGUAUAAAAAUUACAGGUGGCUUCCAACCACCAAAUCUUAUUGUAAGAUGUGAUA
rnacentral:tRNA from 1 species